CGGGAUCAAUUCUUCACCGUUACAAACGGCAGCUAGCUGAGCCGCUACCAGCAGCAAUGCUCACUUCCCACCCCUCCUUUGCAAGCUCCUGUGCUGUGCUCGACAGGGGCUGGGCUGCCUGCGCUCGGUUCUCGCUCUGCCUCUUCCCCCUCCCGAGCUCCUCUUUGCAGUCGCUCUCUUGAGGAGGAAACCGGGCUUAACCAAUUUACCACUUCUUGCUAAUUUCAUCACUUUUCUCUCUCUUUGGCAAAUCGCGUGUGUGGGCUGGUGAGAGGAAGAAGGUGGGUGAUAAAAAGCAACAGUCCGUUUCCCAGAAGCGUCUCUCUUUCUCUCCUAUAUGUGUGUGUGUAUGUAUACGCACGCACGCGCGCGCGCUCGCACACAAACAUCAAAGGCACCUUGAACGCAUUCAGCCAUGGACCAGUUGAACUGAAAAGUUCCCAAGCGGGGCCGGCUGCAGGUUGAUUUCAAACUUUGCUUCUUAUCAGGGGCAGUACGAGGUAGGUGAAAGCAGCAAAGAGGAAGAAAGGUAAGUGGUGGGGGGACGGGGGCCUUCAAUAUCUGGGCUUCCUCCUUCUCCAACCUUUUUGGAAGAUCCGCUCAAAUACCCCGGGGUUAGAACCACAGAAUGAUUUCCAAAAGCAACCCCCUCCCCCCCCGUUUGUUUGUAAAACGUGGAGGUUUUAAGGCAACGGGGAGGUCAGCUUUACAAUCAGCCGUAUGGAGGAGUAGGAGGAGCAGUAGCAAGCAAGAAUUUAGCCGCCAGCCGCGGCCCCUGCACCGAGGGAGCAUGAUCGGCACUCGAUCGAAGCGCGCCUUGCCUGUCGUGGUGGAGAAGGGAGGAGGGAAGGAGAGAGGUCUUAGUUACCAGGUGCUCAGACGCGCCGCGCUUGUCGGGUUGCUGCUGGGGGUGGUGCCAGGCGCUGAGCCGCUCACUCCAUUCACAUGCAUGCAUAUACAAACUGACUGAGGCGCAAGAUGGUUUAUUCUAAGGCAGAGGAAAUAAAUGCCUUCCCCGUAUGACAGGGCAGGCACUCUGGGGGGGGCGGGGGGAGAGGAGGGACGAGCCGCAGCAGUGGGAGAAGGAACUCUCUCCGCCUCCGUCGCGCCCUGCGGAGCUCACUUGUGGCCGCGGAUGACCUUCCGUGCGAGCCACGCCUGGGGCCAGAUGGCUCGCUAGGUGUAGGGGUGUGUGCCGUCUUUCUUUCCCCAGAGAAUCCAGAGUCUAUGACGUCGCCGCGAACGCGGAGUUGGGUAUUGUUUCUCUCAGAACAUCAACACGCCUCUCUGGGGCCUCGAGAAAGGCGGCGCGCACGCUGCUGCUCUUUAGUGGCGCCUUUUGAAUGGAAACACUGACUCGCGGGAAGUAAUGAGCCCUCUUGCUCCUCCUUAUACCUAUCUAGACGGGUAAAGUAAGGCAAGCUGUUGCCAGUGGACUGGUGCCAUCAGGGCAGCGCUUGGGUGGCAGAAGGCAAGGCCCUCUCUUAGCAGAAUGAGCAGGAGAGGCCCCAAACGCAUCAGUGCCGGUGUACCACAUUGAAGUAACACACAACAUUCCCAUAAAAAGGGGUGGGACCCGACCAGGGCAUAAAGCCAAAGUUUAAAAUGGCUGAACUGCACCCACUGGAUGCUGCUAUUCUACACAAGGGGAUGAAGCACAGUGCUGACUAAGGCCACAUUCACACCAUGCAUUUGUUCCACUGUUACUCCACUUUAAACAGCCAUGGCUUUCUCUCAAAUAAUCUUGUUGUUGUUAUGUGCCUCCAAGUCGACUACGACUUAUGGCGACCCUAUGAAUCUGUGACUCCCAAGAGCAUCUGUCAUGAACCACCCUGACUCCCAAGAGCAUCUGUCAUGAACCACCCUAAAGGCAAUUUACUACUGCUGAAAGUUAUACACUUACUCAACUUCUGAUGUGCAGACAAGCAGGAAAAGGAAACUGUUUUCAGGAUUUGCAAUAGCUGUUGCCUGGAGAUGCCUAUCAAUUUCCAACACUCACUGGCACCUUAAGAACUGCAGUAAACAAUAUUUCAAAAACUAGGCAUUGUGCCCAGGUAGAUUUCAAAUACGGAACAAUAGCCAAGAAGAGGAAAUGAAAAUGCCAACAACAACAAAUUGAAAAAACACUCUUGAACCACAUUAAUAAUAAAACAAAAAUCCAAAGCAGAUUUCCUCUUUUCUCUUACAGUUUAUAUGAAAUCACGUAAAAGGUUUUUUAAAAAAACUGACAAAGAAUAAAAUCAAAAUUACAUGCUUCCGUAUACUGUAGCAUCUUAGAAGUCCAUGAAUUUCUGUUACAAGCUGGACUGAGGCCUCCAAAUGAGUGGGCAGUGAGGAAAAGAGCCCUUUAAACUUUUAAGUAUAAAAUGUCUUCAAUAAAAUAAAUGAAAAUGAUUUAUUUGUCAACCACCUGUAAUUGUGUGAUGUGCUAUUUAAAACAAAGCAGUAACUUCAGCAAGCCUUUUGGACUUAAAUAAAACGUGGUGAACU